CUGAACUCUGUGCUCUCCUUCCCUCUACUUUGUUCUCGAGUUUUCUGCACAUUCUUCCACCCACAGAUGUGAAUGUCAUGUGAUGUUGGCUUUCCAGUGUCUUGCAUGGCAUGGUAGCAGCAGAAAUGAGCUUGGCUGGGCACCCUCUCUGGGCCUUGGAGGACAGCCUGGGCUCUUCUGAAAAUACAGGCAGCUUCCUUUCCCUGACUCACCUGGAGGAGCAAGGCCCUGUGGUGCGGUCUGGCUCUGAGGCCUGUGGCCCUGCUUGGGACUGGCAGUCUUAGGCUGAGAGAACAUUUUCCAGAGUAUAGCCGAGGGACAGAAUGUCUCAGUAAGACGGGCUUGGAGGGGCAGGGUUUUGGAAAGGCCUCUGCUUGUUCUGGGAGGCGUUCAGGAUGCUGAGGUUUUGGAAAUUCAUGGCGGCUCUUCACAACUGCUCCCAGCUUUGGGAGGAGGAAUAGACGGGUGCUCUUUUCCUUGGGUUCAGUGGCAAAGGUGAAGCCCAGCACUGCCGACCUGGGACCUGGGCCUCUCCUUGGCCUGGGGAGGACACUGGACUUUGAAGAGGAAUGCAGCCUAGAAGGCCUGGACCCUGGAGUCAUGAGAUGCUGCUCCCAUCCAGUAAGCCCUGGCUGGAGCUCUGCUGGGCACUGACCCUGGCAUAAAACCAGUGGGGCCUCUGGGCCUGCACUCAACCGUGCCUCUGAUGGAGCAGAUAUAGAACAAUUCCAUCACUACAGAAAGUACCAUGGAUCCUCUUUCCAGUUUCUCGACCCCACUGCUCAUCCUCCCAGGUUCAGCUUGGUUGUGACCUCUGCUGGAAGCCCUCCCUGGCCCCGCUGUGCACUGAGCUGGCGGUUCCUCCUCUGUGCCCCAGGAGCUGUGAUGUAAGAAGUCUGGAUACCCUCUUGGAGAAAUCCACAUGGAGAGGAGAUGUGGAAAAGCCACAUGGAGAAGGAGGGGCCCAUAGAGGACAGAAAGAGAGAAGGAAUCCCAGCAAUGCACUAGUCCCAGCCGAGCCCAGCCCUCCGGGUCCUUUCCAGGGUGCCCGACAUAUAAGGCCACCAUCUUGACUCAGCCAGCCCAGUCUAGCUCCCAGAUGACUUCAGUUCCAGCUGCCAUCUGGCUGCAGCAGCAUAAAAGUCCCUCAGUGAGAUCAGUGGAAGAACUGCCCAGCCAACUUAUAAAGUUGUGAGAGAUAAUAAAUGUUUGUUGUCCAUUUUAAGCCACUGCAUUUUAGAGUGGUUUGAUACAUACAGGUAGAUAACCAAAAAGUAAGUGCCUAGGACAGUGCCUGCCAUACAGCAGGCAUUCAAUAAAUAUUGACUGACUAAA